AGAGGAAUUGAAAAGGCCACUCAAAACAAAUCCGGGCUCGAAAGCUUCCGGAACUCAAAAGUUAGUCGACCUCGAGAGCAGUCCGGGAAGUAAGCGGCUUCCCGCUUGUGCCCAGUGGUUCCUGGCUUAACGCACGCUAACGCAGAACCCUCCGCUGACAGCGGCAGGCACCGGUCCCCGGCUGGUCACUCAACCGGCCGCCUGCACCGGGGGCCAGAGCUGUUCCGCGGCGGCGGGACCGAGUUCCAGACGCAGGGCGCCGCCCGGCACCAGAGGAGGAUCGCAGCAGAAAAGGUAUAAUAAGUGGCUCCAGGUGUUCUGGCUGCACAGCUGGCUCAACAGAGGCUCUGUCUCUUGGGGCACACAGCAGACUAAGCGCUGUGGUGUUUUUCCUUGCAAACUGACCAAAAGAAGCUUCCAGAAGAAACCAUCUACUACAAGGGGAGGGAAGGUGAGGCAACGAGGAGAGGAGGUAGCUUCAGAGACCUGGAUCUAUGAAGACCUCCCAUCCUGCCUGCCAUCUCGCUCCUAACACCUGACUUGGUUUACCUAACGGGUGGUCAGGUCUCCAUUUGCUGUCGGCUCCUCCAGUUUUCCCAUGAUUCCAUUCUCGCUCAGUUUUGAUCUCCUCUCUGUGGUUUCCUCACUCCAGGGGCUGUGGAUGCUUCAGCUCCACUGUGCUUAGGAGAGGAGGCUCUGAAGCCAGAUGGCCUGAAUUCCAGCCCAGCUCCACAGCUUAUACACAGAGCGACCCUGAGAUGGGCUCUGGUGGCCUCACUCUCCUCAUCUCUAAAGAGAGAGCAAUAGAAGUUCAAGCCUCAUUGAGCUGUCCUAUGAGUUAAGGCCAACUUCUCUUGUAAAGUUGUUUAGAGCAGUACUUGAAAGACUAAGUGGUCAGUGUGUUGGCUAUUAUUACGAUUAUUUCCAAAUGGCUUGGAGAGUCACAGGGUGGUAAAGCCCUGAGAAGCUUUUAUUUCCUAGGAAAAGGCUGGAGGUAAGUGGCUUGCCAAAUAUGGUCAUUAAGAUAUUCACUUUCUAUGCUAGGGAACUCCUAAAGCACAGGAGGCAUGCACAACACACACACAAAAGCCCUAGCACACACAGAUAUACACAAUGUGCACACAUGGAUUCAUCCAUGCUGCCAUAUUCAUACACAGGUACACGUGUGCAUAACUCUAGGAAUAGCCUGGGGCAGAAUCUCCAAUCAAGUUCCACGGAGGGUGGCAGGCUUCACUUGGCUUCGCU
rnacentral:lncRNA from 1 species